UCUAUCCCCGUCCCCAUUUGGUCUAACACA
rnacentral:piRNA from 1 species